rnacentral:rRNA from 1 species
UAAGUGCCCCGCCUGGGGAGUACGGCCGCAAGGCUAAAACUCAAAGGAAUUGACGGGGGCCCGCACAAGCGGCGGAGCAUGCGGAUUAAUUCGAUGCAACGCGAAGAACCUUACCAAGGCUUGACAUGAACCGGUAAUACCUGGAGACAGGUGCCCCGCUUGCGGUCGGUUUACAGGUGGUGCAUGGUUGUCGUCAGCUCGUGUCGUGAGAUGUUGGGUUAAGUCCCGCAACGAGCGCAACCCUCGUUCUAUGUUGCCAGCACGUGAUGGUGGGGACUCAUAGGAGACUGCCGGGGUCAACUCGGAGGAAGGUGGGGACGACGUCAAAUCAUCAUGCCCCUUAUGUCUUGGGCUUCACGCAUGCUACAAUGGCCGGUACAAAGGGUUGCGAUACUGUGAGGUGGAGCUAAUCCCAAAAAGCCGGUCUCAGUUCGGAUUGGGGUCUGCAACUCGACCCCAUGAAGUCGGAGUCGCUAGUAAUCGCAGAUCAGCAACGCUGCGGUGAAUACGUUCCCGGGCCUUGUACACACCGCCCGUCAAGUCACGAAAGUUGGUAACACCCGAAGCCGGUGGCCUAACCCCUUGUGGGAGGGAGCUGUCGAAGGUGGGACUGGCGAUUGGGACU